CCCCUCUCUCACCUCGGUGCACACCGCGGCAGCUGACAAGUGUGAGGCGUGGAAACCCAAAAUGGACACCUUGGCAACUCUGUACACGCUUCUGUCACUCUUACUUUUUGUUCACGCGGACCUUGUGGAACAAUUUGAGGAUGUGCCUGAAUGCUUGAAGUAUUUCUA